UACGUAGGGUGCGAGCGUUAAUCGGAAUUACUGGGCGUAAAGCGUGCGCAGGCGGUUUUGUAAGCCAGAUGUGAAAUCCCCGGGCUUAACCUGGGAAUGGCAUUUGGGGACUGCAAGGCUUGAGUUUGGCAGAGGAGACUGGAAUUCCUGGUGUAGCAGUGAAAUGCGUAGAUAUCGAGGAGGAAUACGAUGGCGAAGGCAGGUCUCUGGGACUAGAACUGGACGCUCAUGCACGAAAGGCGUGGGGAGCAAAC
rnacentral:rRNA from 1 species